UUUCACACAAGUGUUUGAACUUUAAUUAGUCGAAUUAGCCGUAUGGGUAUGGACUAUUCCAUUAGGAAGAAGUUAGACACACAAUAUUUAACAGACAUGGCCUAACUAGUUAACAAACGGUCUAGGUGGCACUUUUAUUUUAAUUUUAAUUUUAAUUUAUUUAUUCACCAUACCAUCGUUCUUAUUAGCCCCCCUUAAAAAGUAGGAUUUCACUGAAAUUCCCAAAUCACGAAGAAGACGACCAACAGAAAAG
rnacentral:lncRNA from 1 species